GUGAACGCUGGCGGUAGGCCUAACACAUGCAAGUCGAACGGCAGCACAGUAAGAGCUUGCUCUUCCGGGUGGCGAGUGGCGGACGGGUGAGGAAUACAUCGGAAUCUACUUUUUUGUGGGGGAUAACGUAGGGAAACUUACGCUAAUACCGCAUACGACCUACGGGUGAAAGCAGGGGAUCUUCGGACCUUGCGCGAUUGAAUGAGCCGAUGUCGGAUUAGCUAGUUGGCGGGGUAAAGGCCCACCAAGGCGACGAUCCGUAGCUGGUCUGAGAGGAUGAUCAGCCACACUGGAACUGAGACACGGUCCAGACUCCUACGGGAGGCAGCAGUGGGGAAUAUUGGACAAUGGGCGCAAGCCUGAUCCAGCCAUACCGCGUGGGUGAAGAAGGCCUUCGGGUUGUAAAGCCCUUUUGUUGGGAAAGAAAAGCAGCAGGUUAAUACCCCGCUGUUCUGACGGUACCCAAAGAAUAAGCACCGGCUAACUUCGUG
rnacentral:rRNA from 1 species